AACGAACGCUGGCGGCAUGCCUAACACAUGCAAGUCGAACGAAGGCUUCGGCCUUAGUGGCGCACGGGUGCGUAACGCGUGGGAAUCUGCCCUUUGGUUCGGAAUAACAGCUGGAAACGGCUGCUAAUACCGGAUGAUGACGAAAGUCCAAAGAUUUAUCGCCAGAGGAUGAGCCCGCGUUGGAUUAGGUAGUUGGUGGGGUAAAGGCCUACCAAGCCGACGAUCCAUAGCUGGUCUGAGAGGAUGAUCAGCCACACUGGGACUGAGACACGGCCCAGACUCCUACGGGAGGCAGCAGUGGGGAAUAUUGGACCAUGGGCGCAAGCCUGAUCCAGCAAUGCCGCGUGAGUGAUGAAGGCCCUAGGGUUGUAAAGCUCUUUUACCCGGGAAGAUAAUGACUGUACCGGGAGAAUAAGCCCCGGCUAACUCCGUG
rnacentral:rRNA from 1 species